UUAGCCUCUGCUCCUUCCUGAAAACCCUCUCCAAUGGCAGUAAAAAAGUAAAAAAGACAUCAAUAUACAAAGACAAAAUAGGAAAAGAGAAAACACUAAGAAAAAUUUGAAAGCUUAGAAAGUAAGAUGGAUAGCUUUACAGAGCAGAGAAAGCUAAAUCUUAAGCUAUCCAUGGAGAAAACCAAGAAAUAACCUGAUUUAUAUCUUGAAACUCCAAAUAGCACAGGAAUUGACAGCACCAGCAGCAGACUAGGUCUAGUCUCUAGAAAGAGUGUAAGAGAUCAACUUGGGACUGAUGGAAAUCAGGUGAAAAACAGGUGAAUUAAACAACAGCUUCCAUACUGAAUGGUAAAAAUCCCUGCUUUAGUCAUCACCUAGCUGCGAGAAUGCUGCCAGACAAGAUUUUUCUUUCCAGGCAGAAGAUAGGAAGCAACUUCUCAGAGAAUCUGAUUGGCUCAAGAAAAAAGCUUUAAAGAUAUUGUUGCUGGAAGUUCCUGAAGAAAAAGGCUCUGCCAGACUAUCAAAAAGUGAAAUCCAGUUGACAAGCUCCACUCAUGUUCAGGGUUACCAAUUAAUUUUUUUGUUCUUGGUUUUUAAAUAUUAGCACAUUGCCAAGGUCACCAGACAUUUGAGCAAGGCCUCUAGUAUGAAAGACAGAGGUCAGAGCAAACAAAAAAGCAACCUGCAACAGAGACUACUCAGGGGAAGUGUUCAAAAACCUAUCAUUAAUGUUUUCCUAGAAAUAAGAGAAAAUACCAUAAAAGGGACCAUAAAACAAAAAGAGGUUGAAGAAACAGAAACCAGAAAAGGGUUGGCAGGAAAUGCUGAGGAAGACUCAAAGAACAAAAGGACAAAGACAGAAAAUAGAAAAGAAAGAGAAAAAAAAAAGAGGAACAGUUCAAGAGGUUUAAUAUCUAAAUAGGAGUUUCAGAAACAGAAUUAAAAAAGAAAUUCAAAGAAAUAACCUGUUAAUGUUUUCCUGAGUUGAAGGACACGAAUUCCCAGAUUUAAAAACCCACUGAGUACCCAGCACAAUGAAUGAGUCAUCAAACAAGAUACAUCACUGUGAAAUUUCAGAAUACUGAGGAUAGAGAGAAGGCACCAAAAGAGAAGAUCCCAAAAGUUUCUAGAAAGAAAAUGGAAAGAUUCAAAAAUCAGAAUGGGACCAGGUUUUUUUU